rnacentral:rRNA from 1 species
GAUGAACGCUGGCGGCGUGCCUAAUACAUGCAAGUCGAGCGAACGGACGAGAAGCUUGCUUCUCUGAUGUUAGCGGCGGACGGGUGAGUAACACGUGGAUAACCUACCUAUAAGACUGGGAUAACUUCGGGAAACCGGAGCUAAUACCGGAUAAUAUUUUGAACCGCAUGGUUCAAAAGUGAAAGACGGUCUUGCUGUCGCUUAUAGAUGGAUCCGCGCCGCAUUAGCUAGUUGGUAAGGUAACGGCUUACCAAGGCAACGAUGCAUAGCCGACCUGAGAGGGUGAUCGGCCACACUGGAACUGAGACACGGUCCAGACUCCUACGGGAGGCAGCAGUAGGGAAUCUUCCGCAAUGGGCGAAAGCCUGACGGAGCAACGCCGUGUGAGUGAUGAAGGUCUUCGGAUCGUAAAACUCUGUUAUUAGGGAAGAACAUAUGUGUAAGUAACUGUGCACAUCUUGACGGUACCUAAUCAGAAAGCCACGGCUAACUACGUG